AAACCCAAUUUCUUAAUAUUAUUCUGUCAACUCAUAUUUCUCGUUCUCACCCUCACGAUCGAACUCUGAGUUGCAAAUCACAUUCAACUUCAAGAAUUGAGAACUCUAACUUACCCUCGAUUUCACGAAAUCAAAAGUCACGAACCGAGUACUCAAACUUACCCCUCGCCAUCACAAUCUCAAACCUUGUCGAUUUCACCUCCGUCAAUUUCACCAUUGUCAAUUUCACCCUCACCUUUUCAUCCUUCACUCUUCUCUGCAAAUUGAGGGUUAGGGUUUCAACUAUGACUUUGAUUUUCAAAACCUUCUCGCGAAACCCUUAUUUGUUAGAACCAUUGACCUACUUUUCAAGAACCCCAGAUAUUGAUUAUCACCUCGCAUCAGAGGAAACUUUGAGGAUCCUUUGCCUUUUUACCCCACCCGAAGAGACAUCACUGAUAUACAUCAAUGAAAGAUAAGUUGUUUUUUCGAUCCUACAUUAAUUUUGAACAAAAUCCUGGUAAAUUAGAAGUUAUAAAUUCCUUCAUCAGUUUUGGAUAUUAUGUGAAUAUGGCAGGGUUAUUCACGAUUUAGGUUUGGCUUAUGCUCUUGAGGUCCUUGUCGAUAUUGUUUAUGAAUUUGUCUAUGAGCUUAUCUUCUUCUAUGGGUAAGCCAAAGGGAUUGUAACUCGUCGACAUUCUAUCCAUGACGACUAUGAUCCCGGUAACCAAACCCGUAUUUGUACGGGGUAGGGAGGAGAUUCAAUAAUACUGAGCCUUGUUGGGUCUGACAAAACAGGGGUUUAUGGGUCAGAUAAACCAUUAGGGCAGUCUUAGCAUCAAGUAGACUUAAUCUUCCUAGAGAAAACAGAAAUCCAGUACCGGGCAGGAUUCAAAGAUCAUGGUCAUAUCUAGAUCACAAUAGUUGUUACUCAGAUAAGUGUAUCCUUUCCUUUCUAAUGAUUUAUAAGUUUUUCGACUAAUUUGAGAAUUUAGUGUUAGUGUUUGUUACUGAGAUUGAUCUCAUUGUCUUAGAGUUACUUUCACAGUCAAGAUUCUUUACGGUAGAGUGACGUCCAAUGUUUUGAAAGAACGAAUUAGAAACGCGUCGCGAAAUUGGCUGGACCUCGGAAAUAAGCAGGAGAAACUAUAAAUAAUUAUUGAGAGACUUUUGUAGAAACUAAUGUAUUGAUAGGGACUUUGCAGGAUAUGAUGUUCAGCUGUGUCAAAGUAAUUUCGGCAUCUGCUCUUUCAGUAUCACCUUCAUUAAUAGCCUACCACACACAAAUGUGUCAAGAGUAAAGCAGCCCAAAUAUUUUUGCACGAUCCUUUGCACGACUAUAGAGGAUAUUGUAUCCUUUAUAUCAAUAUAAUAGGCAGAAGUGACAUGUUAGAUGUUGCAGGAAUUUCUAUUUGUGAACUCAAAAUGUAAGAGGUAUUCCCACAACCGUUUGAAGCCUUUGAAGCUCACAUGGACUGCCAUGUACAUAAAGCAGCACAAGAAGUUUUAUGAAUGUGAUGUGCAAGACAUUGCCCAAGAGGUUGUGAAGAAGAGGCGAUGUGCCACCAAGAAGCCAUACUCUAGGUCCAUGGUUGGUGCUACCCUAGAAGUCAUUCAGAAUAAAAGAGUUGAGAAGCCUGAAGUUCGAGAUACAGCCAGAGAAGCUGCUCUCCGGUGUGGUUCUUAUAUAUGCAGCUGGUUGUCAUUAAAGAUGCAUACAAAACUAAAGCAAGGCUGAGCGAGCUUCUUUAAUCAAACAUAUAAGUUUGUAUAUCUCUAAAAACUAGCUAUUUUAAUCACUAAUGUCAUAACUUAUUUUUCAUAAUGUAAAUUUUUAUUUUUGUAUUAAAGUGUCUUACUUUGAAAAGGCUAAAUUUUCUAUAAUUAUAGUGGGUGCGUUAUGAGGUCAAAAGCAACCAUGCACAUUUUAAGGAUGUAAAAUUUCAUUCUUUUUUGUUUGUAAAGUAGGCAUGGUUUCUUUUCUUUUGAUAAAAGCACUAGGCUUGUUUUCCAAACUCAAACUUGUGUAUAAUGAUAUUAUAGGCUUAGAAUAAGGCUAAUAGUAACAAAAAAAGGAAUGAGGAUAUUGGCUUACAGACAUAGUUAGACAAGCAGAUGAAUACAAAACAUAAGAGAAUAAGUAAGAACUUUGGGAGUGAUGACAAAUCCAGCCAAAAUAUGCAGUACAUCUGAGUAAGUUUGGAAGUAUGAAAAUGCUUGACAAAACCAACCUUAUUUAUGACCAGAGAUUGGAAUCACUUGCUAAUGGUAAACGUUCGUCUUAGUCUAGCUAUCGAAAUGCAGAUAAUGCAACUUCAAGAGGGACAAAUGAACUUUCUUAUGUAUUUUUGAGAUAAUGAUACUUAUUAUUAUAAUAUUAGGAUUUGAUAUGUUUUUCGGUUUUUUAUACUACAUGAUAUGAUUAUGGAAUUCGCAUUUUACAUGAUUAUGAAAUUCUUUUUUUUUU